GAUGAAGAACGCAGCGAAAUGCGAUAAGUAGUGUGAAUUGCAGAAUUCAGUGAAUCAUCGAAUCUUUGAACGCACAUUGCGCCCCUUGGUAUUCCAUGGGGCAUGCCUGUUCGAGCGUCAUUUGUACCUUCAAGCUCUGCUUGGUGUUGGGUGUUUGUCUCGCCUUGCGCGUAGACUCGCCUUAAAACAAUUGGCAGCCGGCGUAUUGAUUUCGGAGCGCAGUACAUCUCGCGCUUUGCACUCAUAACGACGACGUCCAAAAGUACUUUUUACACUCUUGACCUCGGAUCAGGUAGGGAUACCCGCUGAACUUAAGCAUAUCAAUAAGCGGAGGA
rnacentral:misc_RNA from 1 species